rnacentral:lncRNA from 1 species
AGAGUAGUAGAGCCAUGCGGAAUCUAUUGCAUAGAGUGGAGUAGGGUAGUGGCCAUUGUCGUGACUUGCCAGAGAGUUCGGAUCUAUCGGCUGAAGCUCGACUGGGAUAUCUGAUGGAGCGGAAUGGCCUCUACCCUGUCGAUCUAGGAAAAGCUCGGAUGUUUUUGAGACUGCUGACGAGUCUACUAUUGUCGGAUGCCUCAGGUGCUGAUGCCACAGACGGGAGUCAUCUGCUGUAGAAGCUCGGAUGGAGACUUUCCAUUGGUGAAGUCUGGUAGGAG